rnacentral:rRNA from 1 species
AGUGAACGCUGGCGGUAGGCCUAACACAUGCAAGUCGAACGGCAGCACAGUAAGAGCUUGCUCUUACGGGUGGCGAGUGGCGGACGGGUGAGGAAUACAUCGGAAUCUACUUUUUCGUGGGGGAUAACGUAGGGAAACUUACGCUAGUACCGCAUACGACCUACGGGUGAAAGCAGGGGAUCUUCGGACCUUGCGCGAUUGAAUGAGCCGAUGUCGGAUUAGCUAGUUGGCGGGGUAAAGGCCCACCAAGGCGACGAUCCGUAGCUGGUCUGAGAGGAUGAUCAGCCACACUGGAACUGAGACACGGUCCAGACUCCUACGGGAGGCAGCAGUGGGGAAUGUUAGACAAUGGGCGCAAGCCUGAUCCAGCCAUACCGCGUGGGUGAAGAAGGCCUUCGGGUUGUAAAGCCCUUUUGUUGGGAAAGAAAAGCAGCAGGUUAAUACCCCGCUGUUCUGACGGUACCCAAAGAAUAAGCACCGGCUAACUUCGUG